CGCUGCGCCGCUGAUGGCUGGGGACGUCUCACUUCAUCUGUCACCAGUUCUGCUCGCCUGCCCAGCUGUCAAAACAGGGGGUGUCUUUUUCAUUCCAGCUCACAAAGUACCAAAGGGGAAAGGGGCUUUAAUGCCUGUGUUUGGACACAAGCAAUUAUCCCUAAUUAUUGUUUUUCUUUUGAGCCUGCCCGUCCUGCUGGAGAGCCAGCAGAUGAGCAUGCCCUAAUCCUCGCCAGUCGGUUGAUCUCAGUGGGUUUUGCAGGACAAACCGGGCGAGAAGGCUUCGUGGCUUUCAUCUCGAUGUGAGUUUUGAACUGAUUGAAACUCGUUGCGAUGGGAGAAUUAACCUCGGAGCCCAGGCUUUCAAUGGCCUCUGAUAAGAGAUUAUACGUGUUGAUGGCAAGCUUUUCUUGGCAAAAUGUUUUCAAAGGACUUGGAGCUGUUAAAUCAAAGCACUAUUGAAUUGGUGGUAGGCCCCUUUAGAGCUCUCCCUCCUCCUCAUUCCCUAGUAAUAUCUGUUGGUAAUUACUGGCAGGAGUGGGAGAAGGGAAACAAAAAAUCCCCCCUGAGCUACACACUCACGCACACAUGGGUGAUAAGCAAUAUUGGCUGGAGAACUACGGGGAAGCCAGAAGAAAAUUUUCUUAAUCCCACAGAGGAUAAUUAUAUAAACACUCAUGAUGCUUCAUGAUAAAUCCUGUUCUAGUGAUAAAUCAUCUCAUGAUAAAUCUCUGUUUCUUGCUUUUGCAGGGUUGCAUAGCAAUCCAAGGACCCAGACUUCAAUGUUCUUUCUUCAGUAAUUCACCCUUACUGAAAGAGAAAAGAAAAGAGAAAAGAAGAGAAGAGAAGAGGAAAGGAAAGGAGAAGAGAAAAGAGAAGAGAUGAGAAGAGAAAGGAAGGAGGUCUCACAGAAGAGUGACAGGCUAUGUGAAUCCAGCCGUGGAUGUGUGUUCAUGUGCAUAAGAAAAGACAGGAGAGAAGUCACACCAAUGGGAGGAGAAUUAGGAGGAGUUUACCAGAAGUAUCUAUCUGUACCUGUGUGCUCCCUGUCAGCACUCACCUGUGACGUAACAGAUUAUUCUCAAAACCUCUCUCACCCUGAUUUGGAGUGGGGACUUGAACUCAGCUCUUCCAUAUCCCAGGAGAGGAAAUCUACAGCCAAUCUGUUGGAUAAUUGCACUCUCUCUCCUGUAGAAGCUGUUCUGUUUUGUAUGAAUAAUUAACUACUCAUUACAGUAGUGGUUUGGACCUGACUUGCCCACAUCCCAGAUGAGCACACUAAUCAGCAGGCUGGAGAAUCACUCUCUCACACUUCCCGUUCUCCUGUCUGGCUCAGCAAACAUUUAAUUAUUUAUACAAAGGGUUUAAUAUUGCUUAAAGAGAAUUUGAUAACUGUUUUUCUCUGUCCUCAGGUAAGUUCUUGCUCUCAGGAACACUGGGCUAAGUAUGAUUGUGCGUGAGCAGGGCACAGGGAAAGGCCUUCUUCUACACUUCAUAGCAAUGAGGCCUAGCUUGCCUACUUCCAAAAGGAGGGUCACAGCUGAGAACCUCAGCGAGGCAUGGCUGGGAUUCAUGCACCUGAAUGCCUAAGGCAUUGCUGUCCUUAGCAUUUCACACCUAAGGGAAGGGAAGUCCCCUCUUUUCUCUUCUAGAGAACCUAACUCUUCCCCUGGUUGGUAGCAGAAGCAGGAAUAUCCCUGCUUUGGGAACGAGGAUCCCAAAGGGAGCCUAAGCCCCAAUGUCUGAUCUGCGUUCUUUCAUCAUCUUACCCCUUGUUCCUCUGACUCCGUGAAUUCAUCGCAGCAGCUCCAAGAAAUUAUAAGUGAGACUUUGGACUCACUUAGGUGUAGUACCUGAUAUGAACUUGAAUUCUUCAGCUGAAUCACAGCGGUCCAGUUGCAGCAAUCCUGACCAGAAAAAAAAAGUGCCAGCUGUGUUCGACCUGCAUGGAAGGGUGGGACUCCAGUGUACACCAGGCUCUCAUCCCACGCAGGUGACUUUUGCCAAUGGGGUCAGAGAGCACAGGCCAAAGUAGCGCCCCCUUGCGUGCUGAUAUACGGGUGCAUGUAGGCAAUUAGGAGACCGAACUCGAGCGCAACAUCAGGCUUACAGCUGUGUGGCAGCCAGGAAGAUCAGUCAUACAUGUGGUCUUACUGUUCAUGGGCACACUGAUAUGGCAUUUAAGCAAACAAAUGUCCUCCAGACUGUUCACUGUGUUUUGUGAGACUUCAAGGAGAAAAACGUUUCUGGGGAUGAGGUGAUCUGUUCUAAGGAAAGCUUCCAUUUGAAGUCCAGAAAGAGGGGAAAUUCCCACUGAAACCUGUUCACUGAUGAGGACUAAGCAGUGAUUUACAAAAAAUUGCAAAAACUGCAAUGUGUUGUCAUUCAGUCCCACCAGAAGUGUCUGCACCAGCAGAGAGAGGGGGGCAGACCCAUAUUUGCUUCUACUAGAUGAGUGUGUGGCCCUAAGAUACCUCAAAACACCCGCCUGACACGGACAUGUUACUUCAGUGUAUGAUUGCUCAGCAGAGUGAGGGGACUGGUGGUUUGUUUGGACAUGCAGACUCAUGUGAUGCAGAAAAUUCAGCAUUCUAUGUUAAUGGCUCCUGAGAGAGGUCAAAUCCAUUGCAAUAGACGUCAACUCACAGCAGUCUGCUUAUAUGAACAGAAUCCUUCCCAAGGUUAGAGAAAGUCAGGGAAGGGGAUAGCAAUAGUUUUCUAAAAAAAAAGGAAAACCAGCCUUGAAGUACAAAUGUUACAGAAGGUGUUGGAAUUAUUGUGGGUGGCUUAGAAGCUUACAGGCUGAAUCCUUUGUCUGUCAAUUGUGUUUUAUAAUAUUGACUUGACCUGCCAUUGUUCUCUGAAGAAGUCAGUCUUUUCAAGAUGAAUGACCUUUGGCUUAGCAGGCUUGAGGUGUUAAGGCUGUAACUUUAAUGCAGAACACGUUACGGUUAACCUUUAAAAACAUUUGGAAAUGAACACAGGAAUAUCUGUUGAAUAGAAUACUUUGUGAAGAGCAAAUAUCUGCCUGUUGUCCAGUUUAUCAUGAAGGCUGAACCUGCUGGUUGUACUCUACAAAACCUGAAAUAACACCCAGUUGGCUGGGAGAGUGCCACUUUUUGCUUAUUUUAUUGUGAGAUUGAAGAUCUCCUGUGUGGCUAUUUUUGUUAAUUGUAGUUUUUUAUCUUUCCCUGGUUGCCUGCACCUCUAAAAGAUGCUCCCUCUUGUGGUCUAGUGAGAUUUAUGGCACAGGAUAUGAAUUACACCAUGCUUGACCCUUUGCAUAAAGCUGGGGGGGGGAUAGGGGACAAGACAGGGAUUUAUGAACUGGAAAGGGGGUCAUUCAUAAACUUGAUUUGUGACUGAUUAUUUUCAUUGUUGCAAGGUACCCACAUUCACCUUCCUCAGAGACAAAUGAUAAAUUUAAAUUGCUAACUAAACAUUUGCAAAGUCUUCUGAAAGAAACAGGAUUGUCCUCUUGAGUAAUGAUUCUCCUCUCUAGGAAACAAAGACAGUGCUCCAUUUCUCAUCAAUAUAAUAAUAAUAAAAAUCAUUUACAUGUCUGCUUUCCUCUGUAG
rnacentral:lncRNA from 1 species